rfam:Schistosoma haematobium scaffold133_4, whole genome shotgun sequence.
GUCCAGCUGAUGAGUCCCAACUAGGACGAUAUGCGCGUCCUGGAU